rnacentral:rRNA from 1 species
UACGUAGGGGGCAAGCGUUAUCCGGAUUUACUGGGUGUAAAGGGAGCGUAGGUGGCAUGUCAAGUCAGAUGUGAAAGCCCGGGGCUCAACCCCGGGAUUGCAUUUGAAACUGAUAUGCUAGAGUGCAGGAGAGGUAAGUGGAAUUCCUAGUGUAGCGGUGAAAUGCGUAGAUAUUAGGAGGAGCACCAGUGGCGAAGGCGGCUUACUGGACUGUAACUGACGCUGAGGCGCGAAAGCGUGGGUAGCAAACAGG